rnacentral:lncRNA from 1 species
GUUUUUUCUUUUCAUUUUUCAAAUGCUGAUAUUUUUUAGCUUUUUUUUUUCCCAGUGCAAAGCUUUGCAUUUGUGAAAUUGCUUUGAGUAACUCCCUGAAGUUUGAAUAUAAUGAAUUUAGAUGAACUAUUUCCAGUUUUCUAAAUGGAAAGUCAGGAGAUCCUGAGACUAAAUAAACCAUGGGAGGUGAGUUUAGCACUGGACCUAACACAGGUAUCUUAACCACAGGUGAAGAUAAGUAAUUCUUAUGGACAAGCAUUGAUACUUUGAAAGGAAUACUGAAAUGGAUAACUCUUUUUCUACUUAUAAAUUAAAUUUUCAUUUCAUGUUAAAAAUGGAUAUAACUAAGAAAAAAACUUAACAUUAAACAUUAAAAAUGAAUAUUUGAGAAUAUUAGUGAAUAACAAGUUCUUAAUUUUCCAUUGUGAAUGAAAAAAUGUUCAUUUUCUACCAUGGUAUAAUUUAAUUAUCUGAUUUCUUUAUCUCUGACCUCCAGUCUUAAAAACCAAGCAUUUAUGGUGCAUUCAAAUAUGUCAAUGGUUUCCACAUAAGGAAAAGAAAACAAGUAAUAGAUUAUCAUUAGGAAAAUUAUCUACCUUGUCUAUGCAUACAUAUAUAUGGACUAAAUUAUGGAUUUACUGCUGCUGAUUAGUAGGAAGUACAUAUACUUUUGUUGUAAAUUUAUUUGUAGUUUCAGAGCUGUAAGAUUUGUUAGAGAUAUUUGCUGAACCUAAAAUCAAUGCAGUUGUAAUCAAUUUAAUUGACAUAAUCAUUGGAGUCUUAUAAAGGGGUGAGAAAAAUACAUAUUCCCAUGAUUCUGCUUUUCUAAUGUCCCAAACAUUAUUAAGCCUGUGAAAUUCUUGAUUUGUACUUUAUGCUUAUCACAAAAAUAUAUUCAUAUUAUAGAAAAAUAAUAGAAUCAGUAUGACUUAAGACAAAUGAAUAUAGAAGAAUAUAAAACAUUUCUAAUGUGGAGAAUGAAAUUUUCACUAAGUGGGUAUGUGCAUGAUUGUUGUAUGGGUUUUGAAGAAGUACUAGGUACUCAUUCUUAUGGUCAUUAUGUAUACUAUCUGCUAUUCAGCAGAAAGAAGGAUUUUUACAGACACUAAUCUGAGCCACUCUACUUUUUAAUGAAGAAAAGUCUUUUUUUUAUUAAAUUGUCUUCACAAUGCACACUAAGAAGUUGCAUGGAUAUUAUACAUUUUCCAUUUGAUGACAACUUAGAGAUAUUGGAUUAAUGAAUAAAAUUAUUAUCAUUGCUUCUACCCUACAAGUAGGAGCCUGAAUCACAAGGCUGCGUUUAGUUAAAAUGAAUGUAUAUUAUAUUUAAAGUAUAGUAGUAACCACCUUCUUAUUCUUUCCAUGAAUGACUGAUUUAACAGCCUUCUUGGUAAAAGUGUAUUACUUCAGAUUAUUUUGCCAAGAAAUAAUUAAUUUGUUGUUAAUUUUCUCUUUUAGAGAAAAGAUUAGUAAUCAUUGUUGGACUGUAGAACUUUUGUAGUUUUACAAAAACAAAUUUUUUUUUUUUGGUAAAACUGAGACUUUGCUAACAUUUAACAAAAUAAAACCCCAUUCACUGAAAAAAAAAUUUGUAUUGCUAAGGGAACAUUUUACCUUGCAAUGAAACUUCCCUAAACAAAUUUACGUGUACUUUUUUACAUAUAUAACUUCGUGCUUUUGCUAACUUCCAAAUGCAGAUUCUUGUCUAGUCUUUCUGUUAGCUAGAAGUAGACAAGCCCUCAUAUUCUCUUGGCUAGAACAGACUGCAGCAUUCUAGGAGAUAUAAUGGGUAAGUGAGAUUAUAUAGGAAAAAUAUUGGGCAUUCUUGUCAUGUUAAGCUGAUAUCAUGUUAAGUCUCAUUUGGCAUUGUGCUUUCCCUUGUCUCCUUAGAGUUCUUUAUAUUCUUCUUAAACAAGCUUAGCUAAGUAUCAGGAGUGUUUUUAAUUGUAGAAUCAUAGAAAAUCAUUAUAUUUUUAAGCAAGUGGGUAAGAAGUAGCAGUGUUGAGAAAACUUAAUGCAAAAUAUUUUAUUCAGCUAAUUACAAAACUGAAAGAUAUCAUACCAGUCAUUUGACAUCUGAGAACAGAGGGCAGAGAGGUAAAGUUACUUCCCUAAGAUUUUACAACUAUUAGUAGCAAAUUUUUAGCCUCUGAUAGACAGUCUGAUAGUCUUUUUAUUACAUUGUGCUGCCUCCCCAGCAUAUCAUUAUUUCCAGACAUUCUAAUCAUUUUAUAAAUUUGCUCAAAGUAUACCUAAUCAGUGAUAUAGCAAAAACACUUUAAUGAAAUCUGAUUCUGUAUCAAGUUAAGGUCCAUCUUUUGAUUUCUUAAUUGAUAUUUUUUUAAAGUAACGUAUCUGUUAUUACAUUAAUUCUUAAUACUCUAAUAUAAAAAAAAAUUAGCCUCUUUUGUUAACCUCAGCAUUUAAAAUAUAUACAAAAGAUGUUGAAACUUCUGCAUAAGAUAUUUUCCCUUGGUAAAUGUUUGUUUUCUCUGCAUUAAAUUAAGAUUUUUACUUGUUCAUGUUUAUUAAAUUUUAGAGCUUUAGAAAACAGAAAGGUAACUCAAGGAUGACCUGAUUUUAGUUAUAGUUAUAUAGAUUUACACUUGUAAGGAAUUUUAUAUUCAUCAUUUAAUUCACUCUAUAUAUGUGAAGAAACUGGGACUGGAGAGAUUAAAGACCUACCAUAGUCAGUCGGCUAAUAAGCAUCAAAGCCACAAUAUUUUUCAUUGAAGAAAUAGAUUUAUCUUUAAGUUUGUUCUCAGUUGUGCAGUUUUGAGCAUUCCUACCAUCAUAAAAUCACUGAAUCAAUUAUAGAUGGCUUUUUUUUUUUUUUUAAGCAAGAAGAGGGCUCUACAGUCUCUUUAACAACUUUUAGUAUUCUUUUUUUCCAAUUAUUUCUUUUUUUUUUUUUCCUGGCUUCAAGAUUUUGAAAAUUGAUCCCUGAGUGCCUUCAAAACCAUAUGCGUCAGCUCUAGUUGCUCUUUACUGACUUACUUUAAGUGCCAUUUCCACUUGUUUGUAACAACGCAUCAGACACUAAAUGUGGUUGUUGUGAUGCUGUGAAUAGAAGCAUUGACAAAUCUGUUGCAUAUCAGUGUGUUAUCCUCUUAGUUUUACAUGUAAGUAUUCUUGGGAUGAUUUGAUUACUUCAUUUCCCCCUACUUUGUGAGGCAGUUUACCUCAUAAUUAUCUACCAGUAAUCAUUUUCCAUGUUUUGCAAAAUGAAUUAACUGGCCUGAUUUUUACCAUCAAAACAUUAAAAAACAAACUAUACAGAUUAUUGGGUAACAUUUUUGCACGAAGAAAUGAAAUUCAGUACUCAGUUUAGACAGAAUGUCUUUAAUCAUAUUUUUGUGAGGCCAUUAAAUUUUUUUACUAAUUGCAAAGAAAUUUGAUUCCAGGAACUGUGAAAUGUAUUAGCAUUUUAUGAAUUUAUCAUGCCCAAAUUUUUAAUGUUGGGAAUAAAUUCUAUCUGCAUGAUCCCGUCAUUAGUGAUGUUUACAUUCUUAGACCAUCUUGUCCUCAGUGUCUAGUAUUAAUAAGAUCCACUGCACUGCUGAGUAGAAAUAGAUGACUUUAAAUAGUAAAUACUGUCUUUUUCUAUAACAGAUAGAUUAAUUUAAUUUCAUGGAGACUCUCACAAGGUAGACAAAUUAAUGGGAACUUUUAGAAAGGAUAAAUGGAGCCCCAUCACAAUCCCUUAUUUGCCAAAUUCUUUAAUUUAAUUUAUUGAAGAUUUCUUUUCCUUACCUAAUUAGCUAUUCAAUUUGAUAGAGAUGUUGAAAUAGGAUUUUAUAUAAAGUUUUAUUUUAGAUGUUAAGAAUCAAAUCUUUUGUGUAAAGUGAUGAGCUAUACAAAGAAUCAAGCAAUUGAGUUUAUAAGAAAAAUAACAUCCAAUUUAAAACUAUUUCUAAAUGCAGAAAAUUUGUUUUUUUUAAAUUUGUUAAUUAUAAUAGUGUUUGAAAGCAUUAUACCAUAAAUUCCUUGAGGAAAGGGAACUAUGUCUUACAUUUCUGAGUUCUCUGCCAACACCUAACACAGUGUUUGUACAAAAGAACCUAAUAAAGGUACUUGUUCAAUAUUAAAUAAAUGGGUAUUAUGAGUAUAUUGAGUAGAGCAGCCCUAAAGUCAGGAGAAAGUAAUAAGCAUGGUACAAUGAUUCUUUAAGCAUUCCUAUUGUAUUUUAUACAAAAUAAAGGACUGUCAUUUAAAUUGGAAUUAAAAAAGACAUUGCUGAGGUAGAUUUUAUUUUUAACAAAUGAAGUAGAAGCAGGAGAAAGACAUUGUUUGCAUUGUAUAUUGUCACAUAGCAAAUUCGUAGAACUGAGGCUAUAAAACCUAAGAUGUCUUGAGUUUAGAUAUUUUUUACACAACAUUCUAAAGUCAAACUUGUCUCCAUUUUGUGUUGAGCACUCCCAUGUUUGUGUAAGUUUUGAUGAUAUAGAUAUUUAGCAUAAUGUUAGAAAGAUAUAGGGUUUUUUGAUUGUAGUGUAUCAAGCUGGAAACCAAUAUGGUUACCAAAUUCUUUUAGAGUAAGGAGGCUCUACACACUUAUAAACAAUUUUUGCGUAAUAAAUCAUUUUUAUAUUUUUACUUUAAUUCUCUUUCUUCUACCUCUAAAUACCUUAGGUUGCAGUAGCCAUCCUGCCUUAAAGCUCUCUGCUCCAACAUACUGCCACUUCUUUAAAUUUCUAGUCUUUUCCUAUGACAGGAAAACUUGCUUACUGAAAUUUAAUUACAUGUAGUGUGUUUUUCAGACUGGUUGGAGACUCUGUCCUAGAUAUGUUAGAUUACAAGUAGUAGGUUUUAAGUUUUCAUAAAUCAUGUCUGCAUUUACUUCAACUGCAGUAAACCUCAGUAACUUGGUUACUACAUAGGGGUGUGUGAGUGAGUAUGUAAGAGUGUGUGUGUGUGUGUGUGUGUGUGUGUGUGUGUGUGUGUGUGUGUGUGUGUAAAAAUUAGUGUGGAUUUUAUGAACAGCUACAGAGUAGGAUAUUUUGCAUCUGAAGCACUGUGAAUAAAUGUGUGUGUGUGUGUGCGUGCGUGCACGCCCACACGCACUUGUAAAAAUUAGUGUGGAUUUUAUGAAGUUACAGAGUAGGAUAUUUUGCAUCUGAAGUACUGUGAAUAAAAAGUUGCCAAAAACCAUUCCAAGCAGUAGACACUAAACUGAGCUGCAGAGUACAUAACCUUCCUGCUUCCUCUUAUUAAGGUUUAAAUUUUUGGUGAAGUCUGGGGCAUCCAACCAAGUCUUUAAUACCAACCCAUAAUGCAUAUGGAAUAAAAUUUUAAAGAUUUUGUUGUAAUUUGGUUUUUAAAUGCUGAAAUAAGAAAUUCUAAUAUGCUCAAGUGCAAUAGAAUAAAUCUAUAAAGGUAUAUUCCACCCUUUCUACUUGAAGACAGUAAUAUGUAAAGUAUAACAUCAAAUGUAUUUUUAAAAAGGAC